AUGUUCUUUAAAUCGCCCCUUCACCAGAAUUACUCUACUCUUCAUCACCCUCUUUCAUCUUCAAUAAAUUGGAUAUCACAACCUCGAUGCUUCAAUGAUUAUCAACCCUACAUCGCAUUUCUCACUGCAAAAACAAACGCCAAGUAUCAAUUCCUCACAUCAGUCCAGAUUCAACCAUCAUCACCGAGUUUUCAACAUUUACAACUUUGUUCAAAACUGCAAGAACAGAAGAAGAAUGGAAUGGAGGAUGUACCUGAUUUGUAA
rnacentral:lncRNA from 1 species